rnacentral:rRNA from 1 species
CGACCUCAAUUUAGGCAAGAUUACCCGCCGAACUUAAGCAUAUCAGUAAGCGGAGGAA